ensembl:lncRNA
AAUUAUUUAAUUCAUUCUCUUAACUGAUUCAUAGCAAGCUGCAAAAAGUUACCUCUCAGGCUACGUUUGAAGUUAUGUCUACUGCUUAUAUCAAACACUGAAGUUAAUUGUCAGCAAAAUCCUUGUAGAAAUACCAUUGGUAGUGUGCAAAGUAAGAAUGUCUUAUUGGAUCACCUGUUUUGCCAGGAUUUGGUGAGGGUAUGCACAUAGACUAAGUGUUUGGUUACUUGCAAAAUGUUCUUCCAUACCAGCACAGCUGAAGACUCAGAGUGAAGGAAGAGUGGAGGAAGGUGAGGUCAGAGGAAAAGGUAGGUCUCACCUAAGCUUGGGACAGACUUCAGGAAAACUGCAUGCCAGUUCUUAAUGCAGUCUUCAAGAGUAAACUCCUGGUAAACCUCCUCUACGUUCAGAUGGAGCCAGUUCAAUCCAGGUGGGCUUUUGGAUUGACACCUUCUCCCUCCCAGUGAGAUAUAGCUCUCUGUGCUGCCCAGCAGCAUUUGGUACAUUUAUAAGGCUAUUUGUGAUAGUACUGUUAUUUUGAGAAUGUUAUGGAGUGGCUGUGUGCUGGGUGGCUGCUGCAGCCAGAUACAGCACCAGGAAAGAGAAGGAACAGACUGCAGCAUGGCCAUGCUUGGGAGCAGAAGCAAGGCUUGGCAAGAUCUGCACUGAUAGGCCAUGCUGAGGAUGUGGUUGCUCCAGUGUCCUAAAGCAGGGAUUCCAAGCUCCUGCUUCCCAGGGGGAGGAUAGUGAAGCCUUCUACAUGUAGCAAAUAACCACAGCAGCAGACUGCUGGAGUGCCAGAAGCAGCAACAAAGCGCAUCUGACUGCUCCUGCUGAUUUGUCAACGGUAACUAACCCGAGGUGUGUUCUGGGGGUCAAUACAUCUCUGACAGAGCUGCUCUGCCACCAGUACCUGUGCUGGUGGAUGUUCAACAUGGGGCUGAACGCAACUGUUGUCACAGACCAUGUGGAUGGUGACCAAUGUCCUAUGUGUGCUACUAAAACAGUAACAAGGAGGGAGCUUACUGUAGAUACAAGAGGUUCACAGCUCUUAAUUCUCUUCCACUUAGCAAUAUUACAGUGCAUUCCCCAUAUUAGUGGUCCUAGGCGGCCCAGAGUACAUACAAAUAUGGGAGAGGUCAUCUUGCUUCUGAAGUAAAGCAUAUAGCUUUCCAUAUAAAGGAAAUGUGUGGUUAAAACAGCAACAACAAAAAAUCUUACUUCUGUGCUUGUUAAUGUUUUCACAGCAGUUGAGCAUAUCUGAUUACUCUUACCAGUUUUAGUUUAUCUAGUUUGGUGGUCAAAAUGAGCCUGAUGGAAAGGGAUGUACUAUUCCCUAUCACGUUCUAAACUAUAUCAACCCAGUGAGUUUAAGUGUCUCUGUAAAAUCUGAAGCUGGAAACAUAAAUGCUUGCUUUAUCUAAAAUACAAAGAAUGCAGCUCAGCCUGUUAGUGGACUAGACUCAGAAUAACCUCCCAGACAACAUGGCAGAGUUUUGGAAAGUUUGUGUACAUGCUAUGUUGUAGAUUUCUUUAAAGAUUAAGAACACAUUAAAGAUAAAGAACACAUUUCUAUAGGUUUUUGCAGAAAGAUAAGGUGCCUUUGUUUAAAAAAAAUUAUAAUAAUAAAAAAAAUGUAUAAGAUG